rnacentral:rRNA from 1 species
AGCAGCCGCGGUAAUUCCAGCUCCAAUAGCGUAUAUUAAAGUUGUUGCAGUUAAAAAGCUCGUAGUUGAAUUUCGGGAUCAGUACGCUGGUCAUGCCUUUGGUAUGCACUGGUGUCACUGGUUUCUCCCUUCUGAAGAUCCGUGAUGUCAUUAAUUUGGUGUCGCGGGGAAUCAGGACUGUUACUUUAGAAAAAAUUAGAGUGUUUAAAGCAGGCUCACGCUUGAAUACAUUAGCAUGGAAUAAUGAAAUAGGACGUUUGACCCUAUUUGUUGGUUUCUAGGAUCGACGUAAUGAUUAAUAGGGAUAGUUGGGGGCAUUAGUAUUCAAUUGUCAGAGGUGAAAUUCUUGGAUUUAUUGAAGACUAACUACUGCGAAAGCAUUUGCCAAGGAUGUUUUCAUUAAUCAAGAACGAAAGUUAGGGGAUCGAAGACGAUCAGAUACCGUCGUAGUCUUAACCAUAAACUAUGCCGACUAGGGAUCGGAUGAUGUUAAUUUUAUAAUGA